GCUUCGUGGUCGAGCGGUUAUGACACUUGCUUCUAACUCUGGAGUCUCGGGUUCAAACCCCGGUCGAGGAGCU